rnacentral:misc_RNA from 1 species
GGAGGUAAAAGUCGUAACAAGGUUUCCGUAGGUGAACCUGCGGAGGGAUCAUUACAGAGUUCAUGCCCUACCGGGUAGAUCUCCCACCCUAUGUUAUUAUUACUUUGUUGCUUUGGCGGGCCGUUAGGCUCCGGCCCGACUACCGGCCCCGGCUGGUAAGCGCCCGCCAGAGGACCCAAAACCCUGAAUAUUAGUGUCGUCUGAGUACUAUAUAAUAGUUAAAACUUUCAACAACGGAUCUCUUGGUUCUG